ACUCAUCUUCUUACUGUCAUCAACAAGCAUGGCUUGCUCCAAUCUUGCCACAACGUGGGCUUCCCCUAAGCCGUCAGACCACACCCACCUCUCCUCGCGCGCCUUCCUUGCCCCCUCCCGCCUCCUCUUCGCCCCGGCCUCGGCGUCCUCCCCGCGCCCGCCGCCCUCCACCGCCGUCUACUGCGGCCUCCGCGAGCUCCGCGGCCGCAUCGACUCCGUGAAGAACACUCAGAAGAUCACGGAGGCCAUGAAGCUGGUGGCGGCCGCCAAGGUCCGCCGCGCCCAGGAGGCCGUCGUCAGUGGCCGCCCCUUCUCCGAGUCCCUUGUCGAGGUACUCUACAACAUUAACGAGCAGCUGCAGACGGAGGACGUGGACGUGCCCCUCACCCGCGUCCGCCCCGUCCGCAAGAUCGCCCUCGUGGUGGUCACCGGCGACCGCGGCCUCUGCGGAGGCUUCAACAACUAUAUCAUCAAGAAGGCAGAGCAGCGCAGGGCGGAGCUCUCCGCCCUCGGCAUCGCCUCCACUGUCAUCAGCGUGGGGAAGAAGGGCAACACCUACUUUCAGCGCCGCCCCUACAUCCCCGUUGACCGAUUCCUCGAGGUCGGCAGCCUGCCCACCACCAAAGAGGCGCAGGCCAUCGCCGACGACGUCUUCUCCCUCUUCGUCAGCGAGGAUGUCGACAAGGUGGAGCUCCUCUACACCA
rnacentral:lncRNA from 1 species